rnacentral:ncRNA from 2 species
CGCUCCGUCCUUGGGGAGUAGCCGGCUUCCAUUUGCUGGAAGCGCUCAUGUCAACACGCUUGGUUCGAUCGAACCGUGGCAUGAGCAACCACGUUGCUUUUUGGUUUUUUGGUUGGCAAGACCAUCGAUGUAUCGGGGAGACCGGUCGGGCUCGCCGCUGCAUCGCAUGUUC